CGGUUUCGAACUUGUGGGAAGUGUAACCGCCAGAGAGAUUAUUGCGGGAACGUGCAGAGAGACGUUGUGGUUCGUUUGAACUAGUCUUGUUCGCUCCGUGCACCCCCUCGUGGAGAAGGGAUGUGUCGCAAGUAAUGUUACCAAACAUGGUGUUUGGGCUUUGAAUAAUAUUGGGCCUAAGUAAAUGGAUCAAAUCUCCUUUUGUCCGAUCCAGAACAGUUACUAUUUUUUAUUUCCAAUAUUAUAUUUAUUCAUACCUAAAAAAAGUAUAUAGAAAUAAAAAUUGAUUAGAUUGUG
rnacentral:lncRNA from 1 species